rnacentral:rRNA from 1 species
GAUGAACGCUGGCGGCGUGCUUAACACAUGCAAGUCGAACGAAGCACUUUAUUUGAUUUCCUUCGGGACUGAUUAUUUUGUGACUGAGUGGCGGACGGGUGAGUAACGCGUGGGUAACCUGCCUUGUACAGGGGGAUAACAGUUGGAAACGGCUGCUAAUACCGCAUAAGCGCACGGCAUCGCAUGAUGCAGUGUGAAAAACUCCGGUGGUAUAAGAUGGACCCGCGUUGGAUUAGCUGGUUGGUGAGGUAACGGCCCACCAAGGCGACGAUCCAUAGCCGACCUGAGAGGGUGACCGGCCACAUUGGGACUGAGACACGGCCCAAACUCCUACGGGAGGCAGCAGUGGGGAAUAUUGCACAAUGGGCGAAAGCCUGAUGCAGCGACGCCGCGUGAGCGAAGAAGUAUUUCGGUAUGUAAAGCUCUAUCAGCAGGGAAGAUAAUG